GCACACCCGGGAAACGCCUCCAAGGGGACCAAGUACCUGCUCUCUGCGAGCUGCUCAGCUGUUCACUUCAUCCUCCGUUGACAAGGAAACCAAACCGCACUUCAUUUUUUUUUUUCCAGAAAAACCUUCCACUGCCAUCAUUUGAAAAUUGAUUUACGGGGAGGGAAGGGGGAGAAAUAAGGGACAAUAUAGAUAUAGAUAUCAGGAUAUCUAUCAUAAAAUUAUCUCGGUUUUUUUGCUUAAAAAUGAUCCCAAUCACCAGCUGUAAGAAAAGUUUCAUGUUAUCAAUGGGUAUCAAAAACAGGAGGGAAAAAAAACGAAUUUGUUUUCACCGGCUUCCAAAAAGGGCACAAAAAAUAUAAAAUUAAUGUCUUUGCUCAGUGGUUUGCACCAGUAUUGCAAGACCACAAACUUGUAAACACUGCCGUAAAAUCCCACCUAUACAAAAAUGUUAUCAGAAAAAGAGUAUGCAAAAAAAGAGUUAGAAACAUGCUUUUUAUUUUUACAAAGGAAAAAAAUAGGCACCAUACUUCACAUCGCUUUUUCCAUAAAACCAGUUGCACAUUUUGCUGGACUUGGGAGACGCUCCCAGCGGGCACGGUCGCCGCGGACUCCGAGACACAGCGCCUUGUCUACAGAACGAUCGCAUGCUAGAAAAACUUGGAUUCAGGAAAAGGCUCAAAACCAUGCUCCUCCAGCUUUCCCAAAUAUAAACAAUAAUGAAUAGGACAAGAAUGCCACUGAGAAGGUACUCACCGAGCGGGAGUAAAAUGUUGGAAUAAAAAUGAGAUUU
rnacentral:lncRNA from 1 species